UUUAAAGCAUUGAGAGGAACUAGUAACAGCUUGUUCAUUCUUUAGAGAGCCGGUGGGUGGUGUAAACCGGUGAAUGACAUUUGUGAAUCCAUCCUCGAGUAAAGUAUGGAACACCUUUUUUAGGUUACUAUAUACUUUCGGUCUAAGCCGUUAUCUUUUUUUGAGGUGGAAAGCUUGCUUUCAACCAGGGUGGUAUCGCGAGUAACUCUCGUCCCUGUU
rnacentral:ncRNA from 1 species